AUGGGCUUCUGGGAGGCCUUCCUCAACUGGCUCCGCAGCCUCUUUUUCAAGCAAGAAAUGGAGCUUUCAUUGAUUGGGCUCCAAAAUGCUGGGAAAACUUCGCUUGUGAAUGUUAUUGCUACAGGAGGUUUUAGCGAAGACAUGAUUCCCACAGUAGGAUUCAAUAUGAGAAAGGUAACCAAAGGAAAUGUCACUAUAAAAUUAUGGGAUCUUGGAGGCCAGCCAAGAUUCCGGAGCAUGUGGGAGAGAUACUGCCGUGCUGUUUCUGCAAUUGUGUAUGUUGUUGAUGCAGCAGAUCGGGAGAACAUGGCUAUUGCCAAAAGUGAGCUCCAUGACCUUCUGAGCAAGCCAUCUUUGACCGGUAUCCCAUUACUGGUCAUUGGCAACAAAAUCGACAAGCCUGAAGCUUUCCCCAAGCAAAGUUUCACAGAAUUGAUGGGUCUGAAGGCAAUGACUGAUCGAGAAGUGGCCUGCUUCAUGAUAUCAUGCAAGAACUCAACCAACAUUGAUUCCGUCAUCGACUGGCUCGUGAAGCACUCAAAGAAGAAGAACUGA
rnacentral:rRNA from 1 species